GGCGGCAGGCUUAACACAUGCAAGUCGAGCGGGGGAAGGUAGCUUGCUACCGGACCUAGCGGCGGACGGGUGAGUAAUGCUUAGGAAUCUGCCUAUUAGUGGGGGACAACAUCUCGAAAGGGAUGCUAAUACCGCAUACGUCCUACGGGAGAAAGCAGGGGAUCUUCGGACCUUGCGCUAAUAGAUGAGCCUAAGUCGGAUUAGCUAGUUGGUGGGGUAAAGGCCUACCAAGGCGACGAUCUGUAGCGGGUCUGAGAGGAUGAUCCGCCACACUGGGACUGAGACACGGCCCAGACUCCUACGGGAGGCAGCAGUGGGGAAUAUUGGACAAUGGGGGGAACCCUGAUCCAGCCAUGCCGCGUGUGUGAAGAAGGCUUA
rnacentral:rRNA from 1 species